GACGAACGCUGGCGGCGUGCUUAACACAUGCAAGUCGAACGGAAAGGCCCUGCUUUUGUGGGGUGCUCGAGUGGUGAACGGGGGAGUAACACGUGAGUAACCUGCCCUUGACUUUGGGAUAACUUCAGGAAACUGGGGCUAAUACCGGAUAGGAGCUCCUGCUGCAUGGUGGGGGUUGGAAAGUUUCGGCGGUUGGGGAUGGACUCGCGGCUUAUCAGCUUGUUGGUGGGGUAGUGGCUUACCAAGGCUUUGACGGGUAGCCGGCCUGAGAGGGUGACCGGCCACAUUGGGACUGAGAUACGGCCCAGACUCCUACGGGAGGCAGCAGUGGGGAAUAUUGCACAAUGGGCGGAAGCCUGAUGCAGCAACGCCGCGUGCGGGAUGACGGCCUUCGGGUUGUAAACCGCUUUCGCCUGUGACGAAGCGUGAGUGACGGUAAUGGGUAAAGAAGCACCGGCUAACUACGUG
rnacentral:rRNA from 1 species